rnacentral:rRNA from 1 species
UAGUCAUAUGCUUGUCUCAAAGAUUAAGCCAUGCAUGUCUAAGUACAAGCCUCACUAAGGUGAAACCGCGAAUGGCUCAUUAAAUCACACCUAAUCUACUGGAUAGUUAACAGUUACUUGGAUAACUGCGGUAAUUCCGGAGCUAAUACAUGCACAAAGCCCCGAACUUACGUGAGGGGCGCUUUUAUUAGAUCAAAACCAAGCGGCUUCGGCUGUACUCUUGGUGACUCUGAAUAACUUUGGGCUGAUCGUACGGCCUAGCGCCGACGACAUAUCCUUCGAAGGUGUGCCCUAUCAACUGUCGACUGUGGCAUAGACGCCCACAGUGGUUUUGACGGGUAACGGGGAAUCAGGGUUCGAUUCCGGAGAGGGAGCCUUAAAAACGGCUACCACAUCUAAGGAAGGCAGCAGGCACGCAAAUUACCCAAUGACCGAAGGUCGAGGUAGUGACAAAAAAUAACGAUACGGGAAUGGUGUGAGGCCCCGUAAUCGGAAAGAGUACACUUUAAAACUGAACCGGGAGGAUCUAUU